rnacentral:rRNA from 1 species
GUAGGUGGCAAGCGUUGUCCGGAAUUAUUGGGCGUAAAGCGCGCGCAGGUGGUUCUUUAAGUCUGAUGUGAAAGCCCCCGGCUCAACCGGGGAGGGUCAUUGGAAACUGGGGAACUUGAGUGCAGGAGAGGAAAGUGGAAUUCCACGUGUAGCGGUGAAAUGCGUAGAUAUGUGGAGGAACACCAGUGGCGAAGGCGACUUUCUGGCCUGUAACUGACACUGAGGCGCGAAAGCGUGGGGAGCAAACAGGAUUAGAUACCCUGGUAGUCCACGCCGUAAACGAUGAGUGCUAAGUGUUGGGGGGGUUUCCCGCCCCUCAGUGCUGCAGCUAACGCAUUAAGCACUCGCCUGGGGAGUACGUCGCAAGACUG